rnacentral:sRNA from 1 species
AUGUCCCACGUACGGCCCGGUUCUUCCGCGCCGUCCGCACCCACCUGACGACUGCCCGCUACGUUUUGUCAGCC